CAGGUCCCUUGGAAGCUCCUUUUGUGUUCACGCUUCUUAUAGUCACGGCUGUACUCAGAGAAAAUUGAGACGUGAGGGGCUCUCUCAGAGGAGAGUUGAGAAUGUGUUACUUGCUCGGGAGCAUACUUGGGCUGCCUCAGUCAUCAUUCCCAAAGGAAGGCAGUCACCCCCUCUCUGGGUGAGGCAGCUUGAGGAUAGCAAGGUCACUGCAAGUGACAAAGAGUGCAGCGCUGGGGUCAGGGUCCAGGCCUGCUGACCUCACUCAGGUCAGGUGGACACACAACAGCCUCCACUGAAGGGCAGACACACACUCUGAGAUCCCAACACCUGGAGACCUAGUGUUUAUUGUGUCUCCUUUAGACACCAUCUCUGUAGGUGUCCCAUCAAUGCACCUGUUCUUUCUAUUUGUCCUCUUCUUUACCAGCUGAGCAGACCUGGGCUGGCCUCCUGUGAACUGCCACUUGUCCCCAAAGACUCUCAUAACCAGGCACAUCUCUCCCCUUCCAUCUUGGACACAAAUUUCUUUACCCAUUCCCUCCUUAUUUUUCGAAAAUCACACUCUAAGGGCAAACUGUGGUAACUGCACCAAAACACACUAAAUGCAAUUAGGUAGACAAAAGCGACGGCAGCAAACCAGGCGCGGCACCAACCAGCCACGCAGAUUGCUCGCAGGUUCCCAGACGGGUGCCAGUCAAAGUGUGAGCACCUCCUGUUCCCGCCCUUGGCAGUCAGCCAGCACACUGUCUGAUUUCCCACCAUCCAGGUUUGCUGCGGGCUUUCAAACCAGCGACAAUGACAAUGUCUUCCACUUCAACCCUCAGUUUAAACGUAACAAGUGUGUGGUCUGCAACACAAGGCAAGAAGGGAAAUGGGGGACUGAGGUGAGGAUCUGGGAGAUUCCUUUCCAGAGGGAAGGUCCGUUUGAGCUCUGCUUCCACUAACAGAGCUCGGAGUUCAAGGUGGCCGUGUGGUUCUAGAAAGAACCCAGACUUGGAAAUAAAACUGAAUCCGGUUUGAGUCUCCAGUUCUGACAUUCUCAUCGGCUGGGAGAUCUCAGAAAUGACUUCACCUCUCCCAUCCUCGGUUUGCUCACCUGUGGAAGGAGCAUGGUCUGCUGUCCCAGGGGUUUUCAUACGUAGAAACCUCCACUAGGUGGAAGGAGCUAUCUCUAUGCCACCCACACGCAUGUAGACCUCAAACAGGCUGGAACCAGAAGCUUGAUGAUACUGACUCCCAUUACCUCUCCACUGUCAACUACAAAUUGUCACUUACCAAGAGCAUUGUCAAAGACGGAACAGCAAAGGCGUUUGCCAUCUGCCUCUACGGAGGGCGAACCCCAUGCUGCCGAUGACCUUCAACAACCCCGAGGGAGUACAGGGUGGAGGGAGGCACUCUGUGCUCCAGGGAAUCA